rnacentral:rRNA from 1 species
GAUCCUGGCUCAGGAUGAAUGCUGGCGGCGUGCCUUAGGCAUGCAAGUCAAGGGGUCACCUCGCAAGAGGUGAAACCGGCAGACGGGUGAGUAACGCGUAGGAAUCUACCUCUAGGUGGAACAUAGCCUUCCGAAAGGAAGGGUAAUUUUCCAUAGUUCUCGCAAGAGUAAAGGACUAACGGUCCGCCAAGAGAGGAGCCUGCGUCCUAUCAGCUUGUUGGUGGGGUAAAAGCCUACCAAGGCGAUGACGGGUAGCUGGACUGAGAGGUCGAUCAGCCACAACUGCACUGAAACACGGGCAGUACAUCUACGGAUGGCAGCAACCGGGAAUAUUGCGCAAUGGGGGAAACCCUGACGCAGCGACGCCGCGUGAAGGAAGAAGGCCUAUGGGUUGUAAACUUCUUUUGCUAAACCGUUCACAGUUUAGAGAAUAAGCUCCUACUAACUACGUGCCAGAAGUCUCGGUAAUACGUAGGGAGCAAGCAUUAUCCGGAUUCAUUGGGCGUAAAGUGUGCGUAGGCGGACUAGUAUGUCGUAUCUUAAAGACCAAGGCUUAACCUCGGAUCUGGAUACGAAACUGCUAGACUUGAGGAUUGUUAGGGGUGCAGAACAGUACGUGUAGCAGUGAAAUGCGUUGAUAUGUACUGGAACACCAAGGGCGAAGGCAGGCUUCUGGGUUUUUCCUGACGCUGAGGCACGAAAGCUAGGGUAGCGAAACAGAUUAGAUACCUGUGUAGUCCUAGCCGUAAACGAUGUCCGCUAUGAGUUUGCAAAAUCUUCGAUUUUGCGGGUGGCGGUAGCUAACGCGUUAAGCGGACCGCCUGGGGAGUACGACCGCAAGGUUAAAACUCAAAGGAAUUGACGGGGACCCGCACAACUGGUGGAGCGUGGUGGUUU